rnacentral:rRNA from 1 species
AUUGAAUGCUGGCGGCAGGCCUAACACAUGCAAGUCGAACGAGUGGCGGACGGGUGAGUAAUGUCUGGGAAACUGCCCGAUGGAGGGGGAUAACUACUGGAAAAGGUGGCUAAUACCGCAUACCCUCGGAUGUGCCCAGAUGGGAUAAGCUUGUAGGUGAGGUAACGGCUCACCUGGGCGAAGAUCCCUAGCUGGUCUGAGAGGAUGACCAGCCAAACUGUGACUCAGCCACGGUCCAGACUCCUACGGGAGGCAGCAGUGGGGAAUAUUGAACAAUGGGCGCAAGCCUGAUGCAGCCAUGCCGCGUGUGUGAAGAAGGUCUUCGGAUUGUAAAGCACUUUAAGUCGGGAGGCGUUACCAACAGAAUAAGCACCGGCUAACUUCGUGCCAGCCGCCGCGGUAAUUC